UUUGCAUGUGCAGGUGAGAGCAUCAGGGAAGUAUGACUCUUAUUACUAUGCAGAGCUCAGGUGUCAGAGCAGUUGUCGUCUUCCUGAUCAUCUGAACUACGUCUGGUACGAGAAUCAACAGAAGAUGAUGGAAGGAGAAUCUUAUUCACGUUAUUUUCUUCAUACAGACAGAGUUUCCUGUGCUGUUAAAGGAGUCGAGGAUUUCCGCUCUCCGUCAAUGUUGGUGAGUCAGAAUGACUGGAAUGUGGAAUCACCGUGAUACUACAGUUCAGGAAACUUUCUGGUUCAUUAAAGAGAGUAAUGGGAUUCACGUUGAUCUAAGGACUGAUCUGGAGUAUUCAGGUCGUGUGGAGAAUCUCUGUGGAAACAACAAGUGCACUCUGAGAAUCUCUAACCUGAGAGAGAGCGACUCAGCUGUGUACAAGUUCAGGUUCACAACAAACCAACCUACUGGGAGUUUAACUGGUUAUGCUGGAGUCACUCUGUCUGUCACAGACCCUCAGCUCCAGGUACAUGUGAGGAGAUCAACAGCCAAUCCAUCUUCUACCUGGACAGAGCUGACCUGUCACAGCAGGUGUCAGCUCCCUGAUCAUCUUUCCUACGUUUGGUACAAUAACAAUAAACCUGUUGGACGAAAAAAAUACUUUCACCUCCAACACUUUAAUGCUGAAGACAGCUAUCACUGUGCUAUAGAAGGACAGGAGCGUUUCCCUUCUCCUA